AUGAAAGGCCUCUACACUGUCUGUGUUGUCCUUUUGGUGUUGGGGAGCUUCUCUGAAGCAAAGUUUGAUGACUUUGAGGAUGAAGACGACUUAGUGGAGUAUGAUGAUAAUGACUGCCGAAUUUGAGGAUGUCAUGGAAGAUUCUGCUACUCAGUCUCCUCAGCGGGUGAUAACCACUGAGGAUGAUGAGGAGGAGACCACUGUGGAAAUGGAAGGGCAGGAUGAAAACCAGGAAGAAGAUUUUGAAGAUACAGACACCCAGGAGGGGGACACUGAGAAUGAGCCAUAUGACGAUGAAGAAUUUGAAGGCUAUGAAGACAAACCAGAUAUCACUUCCAGCAAAAAUAAAGACCCAAUAACAAUUGUCGAUGUGCCUGCACACCUCCAGAACAGCUGGGAGAGUUAUUAUCUAGAAAUUUUGAUGGUGACUGGCCUUUCUUGCCUAUAUCAUGAAUUAUAUCAUUGGGAAGAACAAAAGUAGUCGUCUUGCCCAGGCCUGGUUUAACACUCACAGAGAGCUGUUGGAGAACAACUUUACUCUAGUAGGAGAUGAUGGAACUAACAAAGAACCCACAAGCACAGGAAAGCUGAACCAGGAGAAUGAGCACAUCUACAACCUGCGGUGUUCUGGCCGAGUGUGCUGUGAAGGCAUGCUGAUCCAGCUGAGGUUCCUGAAGAGACAAGACUUGCUGAAUGUCCUGGCCAGAAUGAUGAGGCCUGUUAGUGAUCAAGUGCAAAUAAAGGUAACCAUGAAUGAUGAAGACAUGGAUACCUAUGUGUCUGCUGUUGGCACACGGAAGGCCUUGGUGCGACUGCAGAAAGAGAUGCAAGAUGUGAGUGAGUUUUGCAGUGAUAAACCUAAGUCUGGGGCAAAGUAUGGGCUACCUGACUCCAUGGCCAUCUUGUCAGAGAUGGGAGAAGUCACCGAGGGGAUGAUGGAUUCAAAGAUGGUUCAUUUUCUUACA